rnacentral:rRNA from 1 species
CGGACGGGUGAGUAACACGUGGGUAACCUACCCAUCAGAGGGGGAUAACACUUGGAAACAGGUGCUAAUACCGCAUAACAGUUUAUGCCGCAUGGCAUAAGAGUGAAAGGCGCUUUCGGGUGUCGCUGAUGGAUGGACCCGCGGUGCAUUAGCUAGUUGGUGAGGUAACGGCUCACCAAGGCCACGAUGCAUAGCCGACCUGAGAGGGUGAUCGGCCACACUGGGACUGAGACACGGCCCAG